rnacentral:rRNA from 1 species
GACGAACGCUGGCGGCGUGCUUAACACAUGCAAGUCGAACGGACAGGCCCUGCUUUUGUGGGGUGCUCGAGUGGCGAACGGGUGAGUAACACGUGAGUAACCUGCCCUUGACUUUGGGAUAACUUCAGGAAACUGGGGCUAAUACCGGAUAGGAGCUCCUGCUGCAUGGUGGGGGUUGGAAAGUUUCGGCGGUUGGGGAUGGACUCGCGGCUUAUCAGCUUGUUGGUGGGGUAGUGGCUUACCAAGGCUUUGACGGGUAGCCGGCCUGAGAGGGUGACCGGCCACAUUGGGACUGAGAUACGGCCCAGACUCCUACGGGAGGCAGCAGUGGGGAAUAUUGCACAAUGGGCGGAAGCCUGAUGCAGCAACGCCGCGUGCGGGAUGACGGCCUUCGGGUUGUAAACCGCUUUCGCCUGUGACGAAGCGUGCGUGACGGUAAUGGGUAAAGAAGCACCGGCUAACUACGUG